rnacentral:tRNA from 1 species
CGGUGUAGCUCAGUUGGUAGAGCAGCGCAUUCGUAAUGCGAAGGUCGUAGGUUCAACUCCUAUCUCCGG